GCAGGACUUACCGGCUUUAACUUCAUUCAGAUGAUCUUCCGUCAUGAUGCUCUCCAUGCAGGGGACCAGGGACACUUGAGCAUAAUCUGAGAGGCUAAGCGCAGUGCCUGAGACAGAGAAGAGGAUCAAUCAAUGUUUGCGGCAUAAGCCAAUGAAUGCAUGCAUGGAUGACAGGAUGGAUGAAAAACUGCAAGUGAAUUGGGCGAAGGCGGGCUGGCAUCCAAUGACAGGGCAGUCCACAACCUCAAGACCUUCUUCAAGGGACAGAACCGGAAACUGACAGACGGCUCAGUCUAUGUGGAAACCUGACCCCUAGUUCCAGUGUGAGGUAUCUCAGCAUAGUGUUGGCUGAGACUUCCCCUGAAACUACACUGCAGCUUGACUCUUCCCUCUGCCACUCCUGCCCUCUGCCCUUCCUUCCACAGGGACCGAUCCCAAGGGUGCUCCCUA